ACAGAUGUUUCUCUGUCACACAUUCCACCACUGAGCUGUCCUCCCUGACAAGCCAUUUCCCUCCUCCUUCCUAAUAUCUCUGCUGCCACCAAGGAAGGCUUUUGUCCAUUGUGCUGCCUUAGUGGGAGAGAGGGUUUGGAGGAGAAUCGAAUUUCCUUUCUGCAUCUGUUUGCGGAGCCUGGUGCACCCUGGGAUGCUAACGAACAGUGACAGAUGAGCUUCAGUUGGCUGGCGCGGGUGAAGAACCACUGGACCAGGCAAAAGAAAGCAUCAUCAGAGAUGAGCCAGGGAGGAGGAGAGAGGCUUCACUUCAUGAAAGCCUCCAGCAUCCAGCAGAAACCCGCCGCAGCACCCUGACGAUGUGCUCUGCAGUCUUCAGACUGCCCAAGAGCCUUGGACCAGCAGGGCCAUUGGAAAGCCAAGGCCUGGAAGAAUGAGGCUCACAGAUCACCGGAGACACUUUGAUUCAUGGAAAAACCCAUGACUCUUCCCUCCCAGGAGAUUCACCAUUCUUCCAGAACAUGAGGUUCGCAAAGGUUUCAAGUUUUACAGCAAGGAUCCAGGGAGCCAUAGUGAAGACCAGAAUCUGUAGUCCCACAAGCUGGGACAUUACUUGGAAUAAGGAUCUUGGCAGACGUAAGUAUUGGAAGAAUCUUGAGAUGAGCUUAUCUGGAGGAGGGUGGACCCUCAAUCCAGUGGCAAGUGUCCUUACCAGAGACAGAAAGGAGAAGACGUACAGACACAUGAGAGAAGGCCUUGUGAAGAUUCCCGUGAAGACAAAGACAGAGGUUGGAGUGAGGGUCCAUAAGCCAGAGGAUGCCACGGAUUGCUGACAAUCACAGAA